AUUGAACGCUGUCGGCAGGCCUAACACAUGCAAGUCGAGCGAGCGGCGGACUGGUGAGUAAUGUCUGGGAAACUGCCUCAUGGAGGGGGAUAACUACUGGAAACGGUAUCUACUACCGCAUACCCUAUGCUGUGGCCACGUGGGAUUAGCUAGUAGUGGGGGUAACGGCUCACCUAGGCGACGAUCCCUAGCUGGUCUGAGAGGAUGACCAGCCAACCGGGAACUGAGACACGGUCCAGACUCCUACGGGAGGCAGCAGUGGGGAAUAUGGCACAAUGGGCGCAAGCCUGAUACAGACAUGCCGCGGGUGUGAAGAAGGCCGUCGGGUUGUAAAGCACUUUCAGCGGGGAGGCGUUACCCGCAGAAGAAGCACCGGCUAACUCCGUGCCAGCAGCCGCGGUAAUUC
rnacentral:rRNA from 1 species